GGGGCAUCGAGCUUUCACUCCCAACCCCUGUGACAUACCUUACUGUUGCCUCGGCGGAUCAGCCCGCUCCCGGUAAAACGGGACGGCCCGCCAGAGGACCCCUAAACUCUGUUUCUAUAUGUAACUUCUGAGUAAAACCAUAAAUAAAUCAAAACUUUCAACAACGGAUCUCUUGGUUCUGGCAUCGAUGAAGAACGCAGCAAAAUGCGAUAAGUAAUGUGAAUUGCAGAAUUCAGUGAAUCAUCGAAUCUUUGAACGCACAUUGCGCCCGCCAGUAUUCUGGCGGGCAUGCCUGUUCGAGCGUCAUUUCAACCCUCAAGCCCUCGGGUUUGGUGUUGGGGAUCGGCGAGCCUUUCUGGCAAGCCGGCCCCGAAAUCUAGUGGCGGUCUCGCUGCAGCCUCCAUUGCGUAGUAGUAAAACCCUCGCAACUGGAACGCGGCGCGGCCAAGCCGUUAAACCCCCAACUUCUGAAUGUUGACCUCGGAUCAGGUAGGAAUACCCGCUGAACUUAAGCAUAUCAAUAAGCGGAGGAA
rnacentral:rRNA from 1 species